rnacentral:tRNA from 1 species
UAGCUCAGUGGUAGAGUGCUUGCCUAGCAUGUAAGAGGCAUUGGGUUCAAUUCUCAG